AAAAUUUAUUCGUAUUUGUCCCCCUCGCUUUCAAACAGUGUUCUAGCAGAGGCACUGGGCAAUUGGGCAUUUAUCCAGCGGUGGAUGUGAUCUACGUAGCCUCCUUGCUGACGUUAUCAUACAGUCUCUUUACCAUAAGAUUUUCACGCGUGUUGAUUCUCGCCGAGUAUCUUUCGUUAAUGGUUUUAAGAAUUCGUUCGAACUAAUGGGACAAUGUCUGGAUUGUUGUUUGUAUCGUUCUUCACGUACGUAAUACGGAAAACACCUCCACGAUUCCCAGACAUAGACAUUGAUGAAAAUGUACGAAAACGUUUGAAACGAAAAAUACGGUAAAAUAUAAUAUUUUUCGUUAUAUAUAUGUAUAAUAUAGUUAGUUAGUAUAAUUAGUUUUAUAUUUUUAUCGUACAUUGAAAGAGAUUCACGAGCCAGAAAAUAAAAUCUAUAACAAUCUGUGUAGAUGGAUCCAUAGUUCCGUGGAGGUGUCGACUAUUUUGAACGAAUUUUGUAAAACUAUUUAAAAUUUCAAAUAAAACUCGUAAGUAUGGAAGAAAAUUACAUAUGCUGAAAGGAAAGGAUGAAUACAAUGUUUUUUAAUUUAUGCCGGUGUUAGAGAUAACAAGAUCAAACGACAAGGACACGCUAGUAAAGUUAUGCAUAAAUUUAUGGGCGACCUGAAACAUUCAGGUCGGUUUCUAUAUAUACAUAAUUUUUACAGCAGCAUAUAAUUUACCUCCGAGCUGCUUCAAGGAAAAACUUACAUGAUUCGCAUUCUUGGAGCCAUUGGAAAGCCAAUAAUCCUACCUUUGUAAUAAAAAGGGAACUUUCUGAAAAGAUGAUCCAACAAUGAACCAACGAUGAUGCAAAUGGAAAGAUGAAAGAGAGUAAUCGUUUACCAGCCUCGUGGAAAGAAGAGGCGGACAACAACAAAAAAGAAAGAAAAAGACACGAGAGAUGAAACAUGCCGAGUAUGUCAAUCACACCAAAAAGAGAGAGAGAGAGAGAGAGAGAGAAAAGGAUAAGUACAUUUUAUCCUGGUUGACCAGGGAAGCCAGGCUUACGCCUAUCAUGUUUUACCCAACUUUACAGGAACUCAAAAUUUUAUAAAGUCUUGUUUUUGAAAUUAAAUGUCUGCAAAUGACGACAAUUAUGAUUAUAAUUCCGUAAACAACAAUUUUGAAAAUUAUUAUGACAAUUCUGUAAAUGAACAUCUGUAAACUGUAAUAAUAACAACAAGAACAGUUCUGAAAAUAAAGAUUAGAAAUAUUAUAUGUAUAGAAA